rnacentral:rRNA from 1 species
CCUACGGGGGGCUGCAGUGAGGGAUAUUGCACAAUGGGCGAAAGCCUGAUGCAGCGACGCCGCGUGGGUGAUGAAGGUCUUCGGAUCGUAAAGCCCUUUUCUCGCUGACGAGGAAGGACGGUAGGCGAGGAAUAAGUCUCGGCUAACUACGUGCCAGCAGCCGCGGUAAAACGUAGGAGACGAGCGUUAUCCGGAGUUACUGGGCGUAAAGCGCGCGCAGGUGGGAGGGUAAGUGGCUUGUGAAAUCUCUUGGCUAAACUGAGAGAGGUCAGGUC